rnacentral:sRNA from 1 species
UAAUACAGUAAUUUUAAACUGGGAGAUGAAAUGCUAAUUUCUAGAAGUCCAUUUGGUUUUGAAGGGUCUCAUGUCAAAAAAAAAAGUAAGUAAAAUAAGACCCAUCCUACUGUUUUAUAUACUAAAAUAGUAAGUUAAUUAAAUGAAAAUGAAGUACAUUUGGGCUUUCAUUUACCAAUCCUGGAAUGUUGAAAAGUUGCCCAAAAGACAUUUAGCAAGCAAAUGUAGCUAGCAAAAAAUCAUUUUAUGAUGGCAGGUUAAUACAAUUAUAAUUGAAUCAACAAUUUUUGAUACAUGUUGUAAAUCGCUGUAAAGUAAUACAGAAGGAAGAAAAACUUAUUUCCACUAAUAUUUUCUUUCAGGCAUUUGACAUUAUCACAGACUGACAUGGCAGCAUUAACAGGAGGAAAGGGAUUUCCCUUCUUGUUUCAACAUAUUCGUGAUGGCAUCAAUAUAAGACAAACUUGUAAUCUGAUUUUCAGCCUGUGUCGAUACAAUAAUCGACUUGCAGAACAUAUUGUAUCUAUGCUUUUCACAUCAAUAGCAAAGUUGACUCCUGAGGCAGCCAAUCCUUUCUUUAAGUUGUUGACUAUGCUAAUGGAGUUUGCU